rnacentral:rRNA from 1 species
AGAGUUUGAUCUGGCUCAGGAUGAACGCUGGCGGCGUGCUUAACACAUGCAAGUCGAGCGGAAGCAAAGACACGGAAUUUUUCGGAAGGAAGUGUGUUAGCUUUAGCGGCGGACGGGUGAGUAACGCGUGGAUAACCUGCCUCAUACAGGGGGAUAACAGUUAGAAAUGACUGCUAAUACCGCAUAAGCACACGGGAGCGCAUGCUUCCGGGUGAAAAGCUCCGGCGGUAUGAGAUGGAUCCGCGUCUGAUUAGCUGGUUGCGGGGUAACGGCCCACCAAGGCGACGAUCAGUAGCCGACCUGAGAGGGUGGCCGGCCACAUUGGGACUGAGGCACGGCCCAAACUCCUACGGGAGGCAGCAGUGGGGAAUAUUGCACAAUGGGGGAAACCCUGAUGCAGCAACGCCGCGUGGGUGAAGAAGUAUUUCGGUAUGUAAAGCCCUAUCAGCAGGGAAGAGAAUGACGGUACCUGACUAAGAAGCCCCGGCUAACUACGUG